UAUAUUUUAUGUUAGUUUAUCACCCUUAAGCUCCUUAUUAGCAUGAGGUCUCACGAAGUCACUAGAUAAGAAGGCCAUUUUGAAAAUUACUCAGAGUUUUUGCGUGGUUCUUUUAAAAAAUACAUUGACAAGAAGUGAUGAAAAGAAAUCUAGGGGACAUUUGCUCUGAAUCCAAGCAGUCAUGAUUUAAGUGGUGUGCACAGUUUCAGAAUACUGCCGAUUGGUGCAGGAGGCAGUUGAGAAGACGUUGAUCCUCACCCUGGCUUCUGCCUGUAAGAUAUGGUGUAUUCACGGCAAGGUAUUUGAACAAUUUCUCAGACUUAUCUGCUGGAGAUGGAAAGAGGAAUUAAAAGCCUGUGAACCUAGGCCAGAAGUUUGCAGAAGAUGAAUCUUGAUGGUAACAGCAACAUAAAGACAUUGAAUUCCAAAAGAAGAGCAGAUUGCUACCCAUAAAACUAAGCAGACUCAACGUGGAAUUACUGGAAGAAUCCGAAAAUCUUUGCAGAAAUGCUGUGCUUACUCCAGUGUUUCUCAAAAACUAGCUAUUUUAAAGGGACCAGGGUCAAUAUAAAUGAAAUAAAUGGAGGCCGAGAUAAAAUAUGUCAGAAAAUUUGCCGAAAGGUUAUUUUAAGGUGGCAUGUUAAAAACAAUAAUGGGCCAUUAGGCUGUCUUGUUAAAGGCAUUAAAGUCACAGGCACAAUGUAUGAGUCACAUGGGCAAGAUUUUCUACUUUAUAUAUAAAAACUUCAAUAUUGAAUUUCUGGUAAAAGUAAAAUGUUACCAUUUCUGUGUAUAUUAUAAAUAUUUAAGUUUAAAUUGCAGGCAACGGAGUAAGCAAAGUAUUAAUGCCUCUAGGAAUGUGCUAUCAAAAUGCUACAUAUUGUAAUAUUACAAUACAGAUUUGAAUGUGAUUUAUCUUUAUAAUUAAGUAUGCACUUAAAAUAUCUUUUAGCUGAUAAUUCUACAUGAAGACAUACUGCUUUUUACAAGCAAGAAUCUCUUUGUCAAAGAUAGUGGUCAUUGAAUUAUUUUUAAAACAAAAUUUUAAGCACCUCCUAUGACUUAGAUAAGGUACUAGACAAUUUAUAAUUUAAAUGAUUUUUAAGAAAUAAUAUCCUCACCUUCUAAUGUAGAAUGAGAGACAGGUGCUUAAUAUGUGAAGUGUAUGCCCCAUGAGCAUGUCUUAAUUUAUUUUGUCUACAGCUGAAUCUCCAGGACCCAUAACAAAAUCAAUUACAUAGACUAUAUUCAAGAAACAUUUGUUAAAAAAACAGGAAUUUUUAAUACAUUCUUAUUGUUUUAAAAUUUUCAUGAGUAAUACAUUUUUAUAGCCCUGUCUGUCUGUUAUCCAUGAUUUUGGAGCCUAUAUCUUAACUUAUUAAUUUACUUUCUUAAUUUAAUUUUGCAAUAAUUAAUAUUAAAGAAAUCUUGCUUCUAUGAGCUCUUUAUGGGCUGUUGAAGAUAAAGAAAAAUAUACUUUUAUGGGACACAGAACUCUUUGUGAUGGAUUUGUUUGGCUAGAAAACUUUGCCCUUGCUUUUUUGAAAUUACCUAUUUAUUGAUUUGAGUUUUUUUUUGUUUGUCUUCUAAUUUUUAGUUAUAACUGUUAGUAGUAUAGCAUCAACAAUAAAAAAGACUAGAUAUAAAUACAAAUAUAGCUAACUCCCAUUUAGGUGAGUUUUAUGCUACCUAGUUAAACCGCCAGCUUCUUCCUGAUGGAAAUUCAAGAUCUUGGCUAUUUUAAUUAAAUAGUGUACAUCAGAUAUACCAUAUGGGAAUUUUUUUUUUUUUUUGCUUACAAUAUUUAUACUGCCACACAUAGCCUAUUUAAUUACUUUCUAAAUGUCUUGCAUUGUCAUUUUUUUAAACUUUAAACUUAAUUGAAAAAAAUCUUUUUAUUUUUUUUAUUUUUAUUUAUUUAUUUUUUUAUCCACCAAUUCUCAGGAGUUUAGAGAGGAGCUGACUCUUGAGCCCUGUGCUAGGACACUGUAGAGUCCCAGCGGGGAAGCUGGACCGUGCAUACUUUGGAGCCUCAGAACACAAAUUCAUGUCUUGAAUAGUGUGGGAGAGGGGAUGUUUGAGAGUUAAAAGAAGGAAACAUAGUAUGGCAGAGGCUUCAGAUGCUAGAGCUUACAGAUGCUUUGAUUACAGGAAACUCAUAUAAAUGAUGACAGUACAUAGAAUAGAUGUGGAAGGGAGAAGAGAUACCGGAUCACAAGAUAUGCAUCUCUACUCAGAAAAUCAUGGGUGCGGUUACCGAAAAUAACUGAUGGGAGUUUUGUGAUUUAAUCCCAUUGACCGGAUCACUGAACAGGACAUUUUUCACUUCCAUUUUUUGUAUUUUGGCUGACCUAGGAAAUCUCAUGGUUUUGCUGUGCGGCACAUGCUUUUAGGAAAACCUGUUAUUUAUGCUGCUCUGCACUGCCCAGUCUCCCUAUUGAACAGCUAGGCUUCAGAGGAAUGUAGAGUUUCAGUGCAGCAAGCAAAUGCGGGGAAAUAAUAUAAUGUUAUAUAGCUGGAGCUCUUGUGAUGACAGUCCAUUCCGGUGUUGGUGACUGGAAGGGAGAGGGACUGCCACCCAGUGUUUUCACAGUGCCUAUUUCAGGCAGCUUCUAAAUUAACAAUGGAGAAGGGAGGUAAGGGAAGAAACAAGAAAGAAAAGGCUCCCUUUCCUUGAGGGUGAAAAAUAAUUCAAAAGUAUCAAAAGUAUUUGAGAAAACGUAUGUAGUAAUUCCUAUUCCAAACAUACAUAAGUCACAAGCAACCUUAUUCUUUGGUUUCUAGGCACAUUUUUGAGUUUAGCACAAUAGGGAGAAGAAAAUUGGAGGUUAGUGAAUCCAGUGGGGCAAGAGGUGAAGAGGACUAAAUUUCAGUCAAGACAACAAGGAAAGUACAAAGAAUAUAGCUUCUCUUUCAUGCGCUUUGAUCGUCUUUCCUGUUUUACUCUUAAUGAAUACUUCCUGAAAACUAAAAAUAAAACACUGCUUUCUAUUAAGUUGUACUCUUCUUCCUAGGGAAUUCUAAAUGGGUAAGUGUGUGUUUCUCAACUAUGAAUAUGACUAUAUAUUUUCAUACAUAUAGUUCACACAUAUGUACAUGUAUAUGUAUAAUUUUCUUUUGCUGAGAAUCAGGCAAUGGACAAGAGAAAGAGGAAAAGGGAGAUCAUACUAGAGACCCAAAAGCAAACAUUAGUUUAUUUAAAUUGCUUUUACAGUUCUAGUGACUGGUACUGAGCAAACUCAGUUUGGUGUAUUGGAAGAUUGCAGUCGUGGCAUAAAAUAGCACAGGUUCCAUGAGAAGCUGCAGAGAGUAAGGCAGGUAGAUGUUCACAAUCCUCCAUCUGGUGCUAUAGAGAGCCUCUUCCCCAGAUCCACAUCAUAGCACCUGGAAAGUAAUGGGCUGAAAAGGACACUUACUAAGUAGGAGAAAAACAUUCUAUGUCAACAAUGUAGGGGCACCAUGUGUGCAUGCUCAGGGUGAAACUUGGUUUUUCAUUGUGGAUAAUGUGCCCGCAAGGUCUCAUAUUAUUCUGACUGAAGAAUAAUAAAAUGAGAUGUUAUCCCAGAUGCUUUGAUGCUUUGCUUUGAGUUUACUAGCUUGCUUAUGCCACAUGCAAAGGCCACACAUGUAUGCCUUUAUAGUGCAUGAACACACAUUACUCAGAGCUGCGUUAUCAUUUCUUGAUGCCAGUUCUGGAUUGCUUACUUGCAGAUGGGAUUUUUGCUGUGGUGGAAAGACACUGAUAUAUACAUGGUCAGCGACUGUACUCAUUACAAAUAAACUCUCUCUAACAAUAUAAUUUAAAUAAUCAUAUUAAUAAAUACAUGAUAGUCAUGCAUACAAGUCACCUUAUCUCCCCCGCUGAUGGCUUUGAUUACUUUGACAGACUAAGAUACGCUAAUGAUACAAAUUAGGAGUAAGAAGAAUUAAAAGGGUGUUUAACUCUGAUGCCAGGCUGUCAAUUUCCUAUAGUGCUACCAACUUACAGAUAGAUGAUUAAAGUUGUUUCAUUUAGGAAUUUUGAAUAUUUUAAAAAUUGAAUGGGUUUCUGGGGGAGGAAAAAAGAAAGAAAAAUCUAUGCUUAGCUAAUUAGACAUCCUAUUUGAUUUAACAAUAGAACAAGAGUAUUCUUUGAGUAUUGAGAUCAUCCUACAUUACUAUAAGAGCUUACAUUUUGCUAUUAAAAAUGUAUUUGCAAAUUUUUCCCAGUGGGUUUGUCUAGUUCCUUAUAUUUGAUAUUAUUUAUAACUUUUCUUUAAUUAUAAAGAGAAGUGGUCAUUGACUCUAUGCUAGAUACUGUGGGUAAGUCCCAGAUACAUGAAAUAUACUACCUUUCUCUGAGGAGCUAAAAUCUAGCAAAAAAAAAAUGGUGUGUGUGCACAAACAAAUAUAUAUUUCAUAGAAUCUUGUGAAUGACAUAAUAGUAUAAACAAAGUACUCUUUGCAUAGAAGUAAUAUGGAGCUUGGAAUUUUUAGCCAGGCAGUGUAGUUUUAAGUCCUGAUUUGGUCACUGUAUAACUAUAUACACCUUGAGAAAUUACUUUACUUUAUUUGGGUUUCCAUUGUAUUAUCUGUAUGAUGAGAAAAAUAACACCUAUCUCUCAGAUAUGGGUGAAUAUUAAUUGAGCUAAUACAUGUGAAAUGUUUAGAAGAAACUGGUGCAUAUUAAUUGCUUUCAUGAUACCCAAUGCUUAGCCCACAGAUCAAUUGUAUCUCUACGGUUUUAUGAAUUUUCUUUCUUCUAUCCUUUAGACUAUAAACCAUUUGAAGUCAGAGACUAUAUCUUCUUUGUUGUUAUAUUCCCACUGAUUCAAUAGGAGUUGAAUAAAUGUUUAUCAAAUAAAUAAACAAAUAAAAGAA